rnacentral:rRNA from 1 species
UACGAAGGGGGCUAGCGUUGCUCGGAAUCACUGGGCGUAAAGGGCGCGUAGGCGGCCGAUCAAGUCAGCGGUGAAAGCCCAAGGCUCAACCUUGGAACUGCCUUUGAUACUGUUUGGCUAGAGACCGGAAGAGGUAAGUGGAACUGCGAGUGUAGAGGUGAAAUUCGUAGAUAUUCGCAAGAACACCAGUGGCGAAGGCGGCUUACUGGUCCGGUUCUGACGCUGAGGCGCGAAAGCGUGGGGAGCAAACAGG